UUGAACGCUGGCGGCAUGCCUUACACAUGCAAGUCGAACGGUAACGGGCCUUCGGGUGCCGACGAGUGGCGACCGGGUGAGUAAUACAUCGGAACGUGCCCGAUCGUGGGGGAUAACGAGGCGAAAGCUUUGCUAAUACCGCAUACGAUCUACGGAUGAAAGCAGGGGACCGCAAGGCCUUGCGCGGACGGAGCGGCCGAUGGCAGAUUAGGUAGUUGGUGGGAUAAAAGCUUACCAAGCCGACGAUCUGUAGCUGGUCUGAGAGGAUGAUCAGCCACACUGGGACUGAGACACGGCCCAGACUCCUACGGGAGGCAGCAGUGGGGAAUUUUGGACAAAGGGCGCAAGCCUGAUCCAGCCAUGCCGCGUGCAGGAUGAAGGCCUUCGGGUUGUAAACUGCUUUUGUACGGAACGAAAAGCCUUCUUUUAAUACAGGAGGGUCAUGACGGUACCGUAAGAAUAAGCACCGGCUAACUACGUG
rnacentral:rRNA from 1 species